GAUGAACGCUGGCGGCGUGCCUAAUACAUGCAAGUCGAGCGAACGGACGAGAAGCUUGCUUCUCUGAUGUUAGCGGCGGACGGGUGAGUAACACGUGGAUAACCUACCUAUAAGACUGGGAUAACUUCGGGAAACCGGAGCUAAUACCGGAUAAUAUUUUGAACCGCAUGGUUCAAAAGUGAAAGACGGUCUUGCUGUCACUUAUAGAUGGAUCCGCGCUGCAUUAGCUAGUUGGUAAGGUAACGGCUUACCAAGGCAACGAUGCAUAGCCGACCUGAGAGGGUGAUCGGCCACACUGGAACUGAGACACGGUCCAGACUACUACGGGAGGCAGCAGUAGGGAAUCUUCCGCAAUGGGCGAAAGCCUGACGGAGCAACGCCGCGUGAGUGAUGAAGGUCUUCGGAUCGUAAAACUCUGUUAUUAGGGAAGAACAUAUGUGUAAGUAAAUGUGCACAUCUUGACGGUACCUAAUCAGAAAGCCACGGCUAACUACGUG
rnacentral:rRNA from 1 species